UUAACCCAUUAUACGAUAUGUUGGGUUGAAUCUUCCGCACUACUAUCGAUUGUGAACUCUCUAAUCAUAGUCCUAACCUUUCCACUGUUUCUAGGCAACCUUCCCCAAGCAAGCUUACUGAUGCCCCCUAAUCCAAGAGACCCACGACCUCCAGGUCUUCUAUCUUGACUUGUGCGAAUGGUCUAUUGUCGCCUUCCACCGCAGCUCUGAUGGCCGAACAAAUCAUCCUUCUUUCUGCCUUCCGCUGCUGACUUCUCCUACGGGUUCUGGCAAAUAUUCCGGUCUGGAUGAUGUUUCCCAAAUAUUCGGUAUGCUAUAGGUUCACGUUUCGACCAUUUAAUGGCAUGCAAUGUGUCGAGGCUUUCACUUGUUCGUGGCAAACGGAUUGGAGCGUGGUUCCUCGUUCUUGCCCAAGCUCCUCCCACCGUUUCCCGUUUGGCAUCGAGUACAUCCUGGAGUCCUCACACCGGGAGGUCCAAACUUGAAGUAGAAUACCGAUUCACACGCGUUGAAUGGAUGUCCCACGGUUCCACAAUUCCAGCAUGUAAACUCUCUUCUCCGACUGAUUCCGGACAAAGCUCAUCUAUCCUCGGACGAUCCUUAUAUCCCCGGUCGAAGUCGAAAAACGGCAUCUCUAGUCGAGAUCGGAGCGCUAGCAUAGUCUGUAUGUGCACCUAGAUGGGUUCUCCUGGCUUCUGCUUCCGUUCUCGCAGCUCAUACUCUCGCUCGAAGUUGGAUCGGUGACUCCGAAACUGUUGUUGUAGUGCGAACUCAGGACCUCCUUACACGGCACCUUAUACGACCUUUAAAUAUGUUCGAGGCGGAAUAUAAAUUCGGACACGGAACUUAGCCCCCACUUCCGCAGCUGGCCGACUUUAAACGCUAUAUCGCCUGCUGCCCCGCUUGACCGACGCUGGAUUGAAGUUGUGCUGUGUCCCACCGUUUCCAGGACCAUGUUCUGGCGGCGUCGUGUGAGACCCAUUCCACCUUCUUGGUUCCUGCUCCGUCGACCAGGCGGUUUGCCGAUACCCUUUUGAUGCGUGACGAUUCAUCUCCUGCUUCUCGGACAGCGCCCCAGAUGUUGGCGGCGGGAAUUCCAAACGGUGACGUACUCCCGGCAGUAUGAUUGGCGGAGGCUGCUGGAGCAUCCUCGGAUCGAAUGGUGGCAUCUGAUUCGGAUUUGCCCUCGGCUGCUCUGCAAUGACUUGAGGUGGCUGCAUAUGCGUCCCCGAAGAGGGUAUUUGGCCCUGUCCAACUUGUUUUAUUUGAGCCUGCCAGGCUGCGUUUUCCGGAGUCAUACUUGCUGGUCCCCUAUUCCGAAUGAACUCCAAACUUCUCCUCAAUUUUCUUCCGAUUUGAACUCUAUCCCUAUCACUAUUUGGCAUGUCCUAAUUCUUUUCUUAUUUAUAUUUGUUUUUUCCUCUCUCUUCAACUUUUUUUAAUAUGGGGGGAUGAGACGUAUCUAUUUAUAUUAUCCACUAACUUUUCUCUCCUUUCCUUCAGUUCCUAAUCCGUUCGUGUCACUUUUUUAUAAUUAUUUAAACGAUUUUACUAACUUAAUUUACUCUUCAUCUUUCACCCUCUACUUGAAAUUUGCUGGGUAUCGAAGUCACACUUUAUGCACAGUGUACAUGGACCACACCAACUCCAAGCACAGACAACAAAUUUAGAUAAGUUAUUAAAAAUUUUCUUUACCACAGACAACAUAUUAAAAAGAUAAUUGUUUUCUUUUUAUUUUAGCUACUUCUGAGCUUCCUAGCCUGGCUUCGCAUGUCCCGUAUUUACUCGGUCAUGGGUCCACUUCUAGUCGGUCUUCACUUUCUCAGCAAGGAUUGUGCUCAGCAGAAAGGACCUUUCGGAAUUUUACUCACUGUGGCUACGAUGAGUUCGACCUUUUUCGUCUGCCCACGGUCCAAACAGCUAGUUUCCGAUGUCGUUUUCUAUUGCCACUUUCCCUGUGUAGAUGCCGGCUAGUCAUCGAAUGUCCCAGGGAGGGGAGCAACCAAAAAUAUUGUCCACGUAGCAGACACAACAAAAUCAAAACGGAAAUUCAAAUUUGGACAACAGCAAUCUUCACGACGGAUUUUCGAACAUCUGGACUGGACACACAGCUCUAAUCGCGGUCCUGGAAUCCCACCCAACCAUGACUGCAUCCUUCAACAUUUUUUUGGACAAAUCUGCCAAUUCUGCUUUGUGGGUCGUACUACCUCGCCUAAGCCAUCUAACCCCCCAACACGAAUUUCUACUCACACGAAUUCAUUUCGCUAUCACCUUAUAUUUCACAACUUUCUCUUAAAUUCUAACAUUUAAUAAGCCUACCUAUGGUACCGAACUUUCACAUGGAAAACAUUUAUAUGUAU